AUCGCCCUAUCGAGAAAACCGACUGACCAACGAAUAUUGUAGCGCGAUUCUGAACCCGGAUUUUUCACUCGCACUUCCAUCGCCCUACCGAGAAAACUGACUGACCAACGAAUAUUGUAGCGCGAUUCUGAUCCCGGAUUUUUCACUCGCACUUCCAUCACUCUUACCUGAAAAUUGUCAGCCAUUCGAAAAUUCUCAAGCUAAUCUGAUUCCGCAUUCCACUAUCGCUUGCAUGGCUCUACUGAAAAAACCGACUCAAAACUUGAUGUCCACAUAAGAAUAAUGCAAAAAGAGUGAAAUUAACCGUACUAAACCCCAUUCAUAUUUCAAUCGCAAAGUGGGAAAGCAACUAACGGCACCCAAAUUUUGCGCAGUUCUUUCAGACGGGUUUGAAUAGGGUCUGGGACCUAUUUUGGGCACUUGUUGCUAUAACUUUUUUAAAUUUAAAAAAAAGACAAUUCACACCGUCUUCAGCCAGAGGCUGCACAGACUGAACACUAGUAUGGGACAAACAUCAAAUUCUCGCUCCAGUCGACUUUUUUGAUUCCAUUUAGGUCCCAUAUGAUCUGUACAAAAUUUCAGCGCAAUCGGUGAAACUAUAAUUUAGCGCAAGCGGUUCAAAGUUUGCAUAGGAUUUACUAUGGGAAAAGUUACACUUUCAGAUAAAAAAUUCCAGAGGUCGCACCUUGUCUCCUUAAUUCAAAUCGAUCAACGUUUCUUGUAGAAAAAUCAUUUAUGAAACUUUUCUUCGAAGACCGCAAAUCGAUCGGAAGCUUGUGAAAAAAGUUAUUAAUUUAUUACCGAUUAGUGAUCAAACGAACGGCUUUUUGAUUUGUUUUAUUAGCAGCACUGUAGCUGCUGCCUUGGCUGCUGCUGUUUCUGGGGGUGGUGAUGCCUCCCGCCACCCCAUGCAACAACGACAGCAGCAGUGCUGCUGAUAAAACAAAACAAAAAGCCGUUCGAUAGAUCAUUAAUCGGUAAUAAAUCAAUAACUUUUUCCACAAGCUUCCAAUCGUUUUGCGGUCUUCGAAGGAAAGUUUCACAAAUGAUUUUUCUACAAGAAACGUUGAUAGAUUUGAAUUAAGGAGACAAAGGGUGGCCUCUGAGAUUUUUUGUGUGAAAGUGUAACUUUUCCCAUAGUAAAUCCUAUGCAAACUUUGAACCGCUUGCGCUAAAUUAUAGUUUCACCGAUUGCGCUGAAAUUUUGUACAGAUCAUAUGGGACCUAAAUGGCAUCUAAAAAGUCGACUGGAGCGAGAAUUUAUUUUUUUCAUACAAGCGUGUCCCAUACUACUGAACACAUUACUUACACUAGACCAGGGGUUCUCAAACUUUUUCAGCUUGAGACCCACUUUUGAUUGUUGCAGUAUUUGGCGACCCACCAACACGUAUUUCCAUAACGUGUCAUUUUUUGAAAAUUUGGACCGCCUUUUUCAAUAAAUACAUGUGAUUGCUUGCAUAGGUUUACGUUUCAUAAACUUACGUCACGUAGCACUUUAUCUAACAUUUUUUAUUUAUUUUUUUUCAUUUUACAUGCUCUCUUUUAGUUUUUUUUUUUAAAUGUCAAACUUGGUUAAGGUACCCAAGUGAUCAGUAUCAGUAAAUUCAAUAUCUCAAAGAUUUGAGACAAGCUUGCCUGUUUCCUAUGAAAAAUAUCAGAUUGGCUCCAUGCACAACUACAGAACACCACAGAUUUUAGUUGUUGAAAAUAUAGUGGCUAUUACCUAUAUGUAUUUGCAGAACUUUAAAAAAAUCCUACAAAAAGAUAUGAAAAUUGUUCAAUUUUUUUUUAAGUUUUCACGUGAAAAUCUUUUAAAAUACAUCAGAGAUUUUAGAAUAAUAGUUCUGCUGGAUGGUCUGAUCAGUUCUGAUUUCUGCAAAAUUUCAGAUUAUCCAAAUUCAACAGAAUUUUAUCGAAGUUAAGCUGUGCCAAAGUUCGAUUGAAAUAAACAGAUAAUUUGAUGAAGAUUGCCAAAUGUCCGUUGUUGUCCUGUCGAAAUAUGUCUUUUUUUUUGUUGAUUUUAUGGUAUUUUUUCUGAUAUUCUAACUACUGGACUAAGCUGUAGAGCUAAUUGAAAAUGCUAACUGCAAGCAACAACUUGAACUUUUUUUUCCAGAACACAAAGAAAAUCUAUUUUUUUUCAGAAUCUCAAACCUUUUGAUUGAAAACACAAAGCUAUAAAAAUUAUUUCAGAACCCAGAGAGUAGUUUUAAUAUUCAAUUUAAUCCAAACCUAAAUUCAAGAAAUGACUUUGCCGAUACUUCAAGAGAGUGUUUGUAAAUUAGAAUUUGACAUUAAAUAAUUAGAAUAAUCAUUACUAUCUCGCCAAAGUCUUCGCGACCCACCAAAAAUCAGCCCGCGACCCACCAGUGGGUCGCGACCCAUAGUUUGAGAAACGCUGCACUAGACAACGGACAAUACACAGAACACCCAGUGCCCAGUGAUGAAUUUUUCGUUUGACGAAAAGUUUCCACCGACUGGAACGGGAAUCGAACCCACACUCCGAGGCCUACGAUACGCCCAGACGACUUCCGCCGCUAAUCGCACGGCCACGAAGCCCAAUUUUUAAUCGAUUGACUUGAUUUAUGGGACACGAUAAGAUUCAUGCCAUGCAGUAGCCAUGAUCAAACAUUCAAGGCAAUCGAAUUGAAAUUGACUAAGUUAUAGCAGCAAGUGCCCAAAAUAGGCCCCCCCUGCCCAAAUGGUCCCAAACCCUAAAUUUUAUUCUGGGUUUAUGCGAUCAAUUUUUAUUUUUCCCAUACAACGUUGAUCCAUCCUAUUGUAUAUUUGCAAUUCAUAAUUUAAAAUUAUUAUGGGCUCCAUGCAACAAGUGCACGUUAUUCAGCGUGACGCGUUUGACUCCUGGUCUGUCCAAGAUUUAUUCGUAAUGGAAAUUUACUUGACUUCCCUAGGCAUACAGCAUCUUCGUGCCUGUCACACGAUAUACAUACAUGUGCAAAAUGGUCUUUGGCAAAGGAAGCUCUCAAUUGAUAACUGUGGAAGUUUCAUAAAACACUAAUCUGAUAUGCAGGUUUUGUCCUAGCUUGGAAAUAUGUAAUGCAAAGACGAUUUUUCAGGUGUGUGAUCAGUUCGUCAAGCCUGUCAAGCUUUUGAUUUCUUUCAUAUUUUAAGGCUUCAAUCAUUUCUCCACUAUCAGUCUGACCCAAAGUUCAUCAGGUUGCUGAAAAGCCUUGAUUUGAUUUGGUUUAGUUAACUUUCGUAAUUUCAGCGGCGCACUAUAAACCCGUUCUGUAACACCGCAGGUAUUCUCAAACACUAACGGUAGUGUAAAGUACAGUUUGAGCUCAUUUUCUUCCUCACUGUUCAUCAAGUUAGUGAAAAGUCGCAGUUUGAUAUGUCACAUACAUGGGUAUUAGGCCUGUCCAGCUUUUCAAAAAUGUUCUCUGAUUCUCAAGUCCACCCCCAUAUUUUGAUUGGCAUCCUAAAAGAAGUAACUGGUCAAAAUUUCAGCCAAAUCCAUUGAAAUUAAGAGGUGCAUCAAAUCAAUUUUGUGUUUUUCGACUAUUUUUGAACUUCAAAAAAUCAUAACUACACUAAAACAUGUCAAAACUUAAUUCUUUCGGCAUAAAUUGAAAGCUAUACUUGUCUGCUACAACUUCUCCGAACAACGUGUGCCAAUAAAAUAGAAGGAAACAUGUGUAAUUAUCACAUUUGUAAUCAGAAAAACCUUAAAAAGUUGAUUUUUUGAUAGAUUUCGUUCUGGAACACCCUAAUAUACUUAAAAAGUUGGAUUUUUCAAAACGGCAUCAUAUUCUCCAAUGUUUUUUGGUUGUUUGCUUCUUUGACACCAAUGCUGUAGGAGUUGAGCAAAAAUUACUAAAAUUCGUGAAAGUCAAAUGUGGCCUAAAAACUAGCUUUUUGGAGGCAAUCACGUUGUGGCGCGAAAUUGUACUGAACGUAGUAGCUUUGCUUCCUAGUAGUUUGCCUUGGCUACCCCCUACCACGGGUGAUAACAAACAAGCGCGAUGACAGGUGUUGGCUAUCAUAUCAGUGCUGACGCGAUGCCACUUUUUGCGCGCCAAAGCGUGAUUGCACCCGAAAAGCUAGUUUUUAGGCCACAUUUGGCUUUCACGAAUUUUAGUAAUUUUUGCUCAACUCCUACAGCAUUGGUGCCAAAGAAGCAAAUAACCAAAAAACAUUGGAGAAUAUGAUGCCGUUUUGAAAAAUCCAACUUAUUACGUAUUCCAGAACAAAAUCUAUCAAAAAAUCAACUUUUUAAGGUUUUUCUGAUUACAAAUGUGAUAAUUACACAUGUUUCCUUCAAUUUCCCGGAUAAAAACUAACCAUAGGGUAUUUGGUGAAAACCAUUCCUGUACCAUACAGUGUACCAGCUACAAUAUAGUGUAUUGUAAUGGAAUGGUUCGCUAAAAGCUUUGCACAUUGGUAGCUAUUACAUUUACAUCCGAUCUUUAUGUAACAAUAUAUUAUACUGUUUUUCUUACGUUUGAACCAUUCACUAUUCCGAAACAAUCUUUUUCCGUGCAUUUUUAAUUUUUUAUUCAGUUUAUGAUUUUUUCCGUGCUUUGUUUUGUUGAUGUCCGUGACAUUUUUGUUGCAAAGGAAAUGAAAGAGAAAAAAGUGAAUAAGUUGAAACAUCUAUUUAAAGUCAAUAAAAUGUUUAAAUAAAGUGGUAAACCAGGUGUCCUAAGGACUGCAUAUCCAAGAGAUAUGGUGGGCUAGGUAUGUAGAGUGCGAUGAGAGGAAUACGAAUGUAGGUCAACCCGGAAAGACGCAGGCCAGAUUACCGUAAAUCAGUGGAUGAGUUCAACACUAUUCUUUCUCUUCUUCUCUCAUGUGAGAUUGCCUUGUACAAGAACCGAAUUAAAUGCGAUUUAUCUAUGACAUUUUUAACAUAAGGACUGGACUGGACACUGAAACGACUUCUGAAAUAAGUUCGUCUUCGCUUUUUAACCUAACUUAUAGUUGAAUCGAACUUGACAGUUUUCUCAUGAGUUGUUAUGUACACAUUUCAUAGUUCAGUCAAAUUGGAGCCUCAAUAUUGCAAUAAUGGUUAAGCACGCUGUAAUGAUACUUAUGUACCUCGUCACCCACUUCAUGCAACUACAUUAGUGGUCUAAUAACACUUAGCGUGCUAGGCAUAGUUCCAUCAUGCCGCUCAAAGUGUUGCCACAAAUAAUGCUUAGUUUGCAAAACCCGGUUAUCUGGCUGGUGGGACAUGGGAGCUUAAGCUUCAACUGUUAAUGCAAUGAGAGGCUACUCAGACUUAGACGAGUUUAGGUUAGUUUGGCUAGAACUGCCAUUAUCGAAGGAACAUGACGAGAUAAUAUAACAUUAUAUGGUUUAUCUAAUGUAAAACAAUACAACAUAACAAAAGAGAACCAUUCCUCUCUCUCUCUUCUUGGCGUAACGUCCUCAUUGGGACAAAGCCUGCUUCUCAGCUUAGUGUUCUAUGAGCACUUCCACAGUUAUUAACUGAGAGCUUCCUCUGCCAAUGACCAUUUUGCAUGCGUAUAUCGUGUGGCAGGCACGAAGAUACUCUAUGCCCAAGGAAGUCAAGGAAAUUUCCUUUACGAAAAGAUCCUGGACCGACCGGGAAUCGAACCCGUCACCCUCAGCAUGGUCAUGCUGAAUACCCGUGCGUUUACCGCCUCGGCUAUAUGGGCCCUUAGAACCAUUCCAAAACCAUGAUUAAAUUUAUAACCAGUAGUGAAAUUACAAUUAAAAACAAUAUAUUUACGGUACAUUCUAUUGUUUGAAACCAUACGUGUACCAUACAAUGUACGGUAUAUUAAAGCCCACGUAUCAGUAUUUCGAACAAUUCAUUUACAAUAAAAUGUAUGGUUUUGUAAAAAAAUAUAUAUGGAGAAAAAUAUUUUUUUAUAUUGUUACGAUACUUAACAACCCGUAUAGUAUAUUGUAAAAAUCUCAUUUACAAUUCACUGUAUGGUGUCUAACAUUACAUCUUAUUGUUUUUGUAUUUUUUAUUUUUACAGUGGUGUUUAUUGUAACAAUAUGGUUUUAAAUAGUACUGUUACAAUACAACAUUCGGUUUUUCUACUGUAUUUUUUAUUCGGGUUUAUUGGCACACGUUGUUCGGAGAAGUUGUAGCAAACAAGUAUAGCUUUCAAUUUCUGCCGAAAGAAUUAAGUUUUGACAUGUUUUAGUGUAGUUAUGAUUUUUUGAAGUUCAAAAAUAGUCGAAAAACACAAAAUUGAUUUGAUGCACCUCUUAAUUUCAAUGGAUUUGGCUGAAAUUUUGACCAGUUACUUCUUAUAGGAUGCUAAUCAAAAUAUGGGGGUGGACUUGAGAAUCAGAGAACAUUUUUGAAAAGCUGGACAGGCCUAAUGGGUAUGACUCACUUUUACAUUUGACCAUUUUCGGUGGAACACCAGAAACUGGUUUUGGAACACUACGGGUAGUCUAUAAAGUGACCUGAUGCUAUUGACUUGCACACCAUUCAGCAGGUUAUCGAAAAUACCCCAAAUUGAUGUGUCGCGUGGGUUUGGUUCCCUUAUACACUUUACCGCUUCCGGUAGGAUAUGGAUAGGUUUGGAUAUGGUCUGAGUCUAUCUUUAACCGUUCUUUAGGUUACCUAAAGGCCAUUUGAUAUGUUGCAUCUGCAUGUAUGGGUUUGGUUCUCUUUUGCAUUUGACCACUUCCGAUGGGACACCCAGAACCGGUUUCGGAACCCUACCGGUAGUUUCUAAUGUAGUCUGAGCCUAUUUUCUACGUAAUUGUUCAUCAGGAUAUCGAAAAAGGCGCGAUUAAUUCGAUGUGUCGCAAGCACGGAUUUGGUUCACCGGUUGCGGAACAAUACCGGUUCAGAUAUGGUCUGAGUUCAUUUAUUUAGUUAACAUCAAAUUCAUGAUAAUACUGAAUCAACAAUUUGCCGCCAUAAUACUCGAUUUGCAGCUGCAGCUCUCCAACCUCGGUCGCGCCCAACACUCGCCAGAUCACGCUCCACCUGGUCCGCCCAUCGUGCUCUCUGCGCUCCACGCCUUCUUGUACCAACCGGAUGGGUAGCAAACACCAACUUUGCAGGGUUGUUGCCAACGCUGGCAGCACUGAUAAUUUGAAUACUGAAUCGAUCCGAGACACCCCCCGAUCGGACUCCGCGCGCACCAAUUGACAUCAAUCUCGCGUAGUUCGAUUCGUACCGAAUGUCAGUGUGGCGUAUCGAAUGUCAGGAUGAGAAGAUAGAGAAGUGAUAUCGCAAGUCAUCUACGUAGCAGCAGCUGUAUAGGAUUGAUUUGGUAGUAAUUAUUAUUGCAAAUUUAUCUAAAGUUGUUCACCAGUUAUUGUAUCGAAUUUGAAUUAGUUUCUUGCUCUACCGAGAAUAGGUUACCGUAGGAUACGAUUCAUCUGAACGUCUAUGCUCGCGAAAGAAUUGGAUUCGUUGACUUCUUGCUGAAGAAAGUUUGAAUUAAAUAUCGUUGGGGAAGAUAUCACCAAGGAGACCGGUUUGUAAGUUGCCAUUAGUUGAGUAAAACUGCCUUUUGUUAUUAAUAAACGUCUUCCCCAGCUUAAAGAGCUCGGCACAGGAA